rnacentral:rRNA from 1 species
UACAGGGGGGGCAAGCGUUGUUCGGAAUUACUGGGCGUAAAGGGUCUGUAGGUGGCCAACUAAGUCAGACGUGAAAUCCCUCAGCUUAACUGGGGAACUGCGUCUGAUACUGGAUGGCUCGAGUGUGGGAGAGGAAUGCGGAAUUCCAGGUGUAGCGGUGAAAUGCGUAGAUAUCUGGAGGAACACCGACGGCGAAGGCAGCACUCUGGGCCGGUACUGACGCUGAGGAGCGAAAGCAUGGGGAGCGAACAGG